UUCUUCUCUUGGCUUGCUAAUGUAACUCUCCGAUGCUCGGCAGUUACACAUGCAGGACAGAAAAGCUGAAAGGUCAAAUGAGCUGGCCCUGGAGCAGCUGCACUGGGCCCUGAAAUGAAUACCUUCGUAGUGUUUGCAAGAUAAAUAAACCUCUUAUUUGUUUAAAUGGUGUCAACGUUUCUGUUACUCUCAGUUAAAUCAAUCCCAACCAGAGAGUGCAGAUUGAGAAACAUCAAAAUUUUCCAAAAUUCUAUGGGUUUUAUUCAUAUCAAGUUGUCAUCUUUAUUUUCAGAUGAAGGAGAACUUUAGAAGGAUGUGUUUGUUGUCUGCAUGCUUCGUUGCAACAGCCCUGCCACACUAGGAGGAGGACAGGUUUUGGGUCCUGUCUUGGUGAUAAAGGUAAAACUAAAGGACAAUCAAACCUCAUCAAACUUCUCUUCUGAGGAGCUGAUGAUGUUUCAGAAACAGUGACAAAGUUCAGAAUCCCAUUCUUCCAUCCUAGAUGGGAAACAUCAACUUUCCUGAUGGAAAGGCCAUGUGAAAACAUGGUGAGAAGACAGUCAUCUGCAACCCAAGGAGAGAGACUUCACUAGACACCGACCCUGCUGGCACCUUGAUCUUGGACUUCCAGUGUUCAGAACUAUGAGAAAUAAAUUCCUGUUAUGUAAGGUGCCCAGUCCGUGGUAUUUUGUUGUAACAGCCUGAGCUGAUGAAGAUGAAUUUUCCUUUCAAGAUCAGGUCUUGGGCUUCAGAGUCAGCCUCACUGUGGAAAGCAAUGGCUAGCCUCACCUUCCCACAGAAGACUUGGUUUUAUCGGAGGCAAGUUUUGUCUUGCUUAUUGAGGUUAUACAAAGCAUAACAAAAUUCACAUUUUAUAAAGUGACUACCAUAUGAUCACUCUGAAUUUUAUUUUACCUGUCAUUUCUCGGUAUCAAUAGGUUUUACUUCCGCUUGUUCUGGAUUUCAGUGAUUGACGAUUGAAUACAAUA